rnacentral:rRNA from 1 species
UACAGAGGUCUCAAGCGUUGUUCGGAUUCAUUGGGCGUAAAGGGUGUGUAGGUGGCGCCGUAAGUCGGGUGUGAAAUUUCGGAGCUUAACUCCGAAACUGCAUUCGAUACUGCGGUGCUUGAGGACUGGAGAGGAGACUGGAAUUCAUGGUGUAGCAGUGAAAUGCGUAGAGAUCAUGAGGAAGACCAGUGGCGAAGGCGGGUCUCUGGCCUGUUCUUGACGCUGAGGCGCGAAAGCUAGGGGAGCAAACGGG